GACGAACGCUGGCGGCGUGCCUAAUACAUGCAAGUCGAACGAACCGCGACUAGGUGCUUGCACUUGGUCAAGGUGAGUGGCGAACGGGUGAGUAACACGUGGGUAACCUACCUCAUAGUGGGGGAUAACAGUCGGAAACGACUGCUAAUACCGCAUAGGACAUAGGAUCACAUGAUCCAGUGAGGAAAGGUGGCCCAAGCUAUCGCUAAGAGAUGGACCCGCGGUGCAUUAGCUAGUUGGUAGGGUAAAGGCCUACCAAGGCGAUGAUGCAUAGCCGACCUGAGAGGGUGAUCGGCCACAUUGGGACUGAGACACGGCCCAAACUCCUACGGGAGGCAGCAGUAGGGAAUCUUCCGCAAUGGACGCAAGUCUGACGGAGCAACGCCGCGUGAGUGAAGAAGGUCUUCGGAUCGUAAAGCUCUGUUGUUAGAGAAGAACAGCGCAUAGAGUAACUGUUAUGCGUGUGACGGUAUCUAACCAGAAAGCCACGGCUAACUACGUG
rnacentral:rRNA from 1 species